rnacentral:rRNA from 1 species
GAUGAACGCUGGCGGCGUGCCUAAUACAUGCAAGUCGAGCGACGCGUGGACGGGUGUGUAACAUGUGGAUAACCUCCUAUAUAACUGGGAAUACCUAGUGAAACCGGUGCUAAACCCGCUACUUAUCGUUUGAUCCGCUUGGCAUUAGCUAGUUGGUAAGCUAACGGCUAACCAAGGCAACGAUGCAUAGCCGACCUGAGAGGGUGACCGGCCACACUGGAACGGAGACACGGUCCAGACUCCUACGGGAGGCAGCAGUAGGGAAUCUUCCGCAAUGGGCGAAAGCCUGACGGAGCAACGCCGCGUGAAUGAUGAAGGUCUUCGGAUCGUAAAGCUCUGUUAUUAGGGAAGCGGUACCUGAACAGAAAGCCACGGCUAACUACGUGCCAGCAGCCGCGGUAAUUC